GAACCGAAAAAGAGGCGUAUCCGGAGCGGGGCCGGAGGGGAGUUCUUCUUUUCCGUUUCCGGCAAGAAAAGAUCCGGCGGGCCAAAAAACCGCUCGCUUUAGAGAACAAAAAACCUAGGGUUUCAUCAAAAACUCUGUCCACCUUUUUAUAGGAAAGAAUCAUCUCCGGCUUCCUCUUUGAAUCUCUCCCUUUCCUUCUUCCAGCUUUGGAAAGGAGCUGUUCAAUCGACUCUUAGAACCCUCAUCCUGCCGGUUGAAGCUUCCCUCAAAUAUGGGAGAUUAUAGAGGAAAACUUAGGAAAGGCAAUGCAAUUGAAGAAUAUUUACAUGAAAAAGGGGUCAUUUGUGUGCAUGCAUUUUCAGACCUGUCACAUAUUUCACCAGCAACAUUUGUAUAUCUUCUGAAGGAAUGUUACAUAUGUGGCACACACAAAGCAACUCGCAAGUUUCGUGUUCUUCAGCAGCAAGUUUCACGAGCCCUGUAUAAUGGACCUCAACCUGGACCAUUCACUUUUAUCAUUCAGUGCCUUUAUGUUGUUUCUUUACUGGGACCUAGUCAUGGUGAUGGGUUUGGUCACAUGCUGAUUUCUUCUCUUCGGAAUAUAAGAGCACUAAAAUCCAUACUAGAAGAUUUUGCUGAAGCAAAGCAUCUUGUUGUACAACUAUUUCUCGAUAAUUUUGCUUGUGCUAUUACUCACGAUGGGAAUAUACUUGUAAAGUUGUUGGAGGAAUUUGAUGUUGAGUUGAAAGAUAUUGGAGAUGCCAUAUGUGGUUCAGAGUUGAAUAAUGGAUGCUCAGACCAGGCAGAGGCAUAUGCUAAACAAUUUAUCUUUGGUUUAAUAGAAUCAAGGUCAUUUAUGGCUGCUGUAAAGCUGUCAGAACGAUUUUCCAUUCACCUUUCCGGGGAGUCUUUUCUUGUAAAGAUGAUGCAAUGCAAUCAAUUUGGAACAGCAGAAAGAUGGGCUACUUUUAUGGGAAAGCCAAUGAUAUGUUUAUUGGUCCAAAAAUAUUUGGACAUGAAUUUGCUGAAGCUUGCUUAUGACUUGGUAAAAGGUAACAAUCUUAUGCAGGAGUUUCCAGAUGUAUCCCAUUUAUAUAAAGAAAGUUCAGUAAGAAAACUGGCCGAAAAAGGGUGCUGGGAUGUUGCAGAACAGAAAGCAAACAAUGACAGAGAACUUAUAGAGUUCCUGGUGUAUCUGGCCAUGGAAGCUGGAUACAUGGAGAAGGUUGAUGAAUUGCGUGAGCGUUACCACCUUGAUGGUUUCACUAAAGUGGUUUCAGGGCCUAGGGAAAGCUCUUCUGGGGCAUAUUUUUUGGAUCUGAAGAAAUUGAAUAUGGAUGAUAUCAUAUGGGUUGAUAACAUUGAUGGACUCUUAACUGCUACAAACUAUAUCGAGGGAUGUAAAAUUGUUGGCAUAGAUUGUGAAUGGAAACCUAAUUAUGAGAGAGGCAGCAGACCGAACAGGGUGUCCAUCAUGCAGAUUGCUUCAGAAGUCCGGGUUUUCAUCUUUGAUUUGAUAAAGUUAUAUGAGGAUGAACGAGAAGCAUUAGGCAGUUGCUUGAGGCACAUUUUGUGCUCUUCAAACAUACUAAAGCUUGGCUAUAACUUGCAAUGUGAUCUUAAUCAGUUGUCAUAUUCUUAUGGCGACUUGGAGUGCUUUGAUUGCUACGUCAAGCUUCUUGAUAUUCAAAAUCUGUUCAAGGAGCCUAAGGGUGGUUUAUCUGGGUUAGCAAAGAAAAUAUUAGGAGCUGGUCUGAAUAAAACAAGACGUAACAGCAAUUGGGAACAACGGCCUCUAAGUGAGAAUCAGAAAGAGUAUGCUGCACUUGAUGCUGUUGUCCUUGUUCAUAUAUUCCAUCAUGUCCGUGACCAGCCUCAUUCAGGUGCUAACAAUGAGUGGUGCAAAACUGAAUGGAAAUCUCACAUUGUAUCGCGCAUUAAUAGAAGAAGGCCUACAAACACAUUAAAGUAGUCCAGAAUAUGGCAAUAGUGUCACCUACCAAUCCAUUUCGAGGUGCACUAGUGUUCAAGGAUGUAAAGUGUGAUUGUCAGUGUUGAGAAUCCCUUUUAUUGGCCAAGUGGCAAUUUGAUGUCCACAAUUACGUCUUCAAUUAUUAAUAAUUUCUUUAGCUAUAUAUCAUUAUUCAUUGAUUUUUGAUGGAAAAGAGGAAUCAUGACAAAACCCUACCCCCGUUCCCCCACCCCAAAUUAUCAGAAAGAAAAAUAUGUACAGAAGGGUAUCCAAGAAGCUAAUUCAUGGGAGGCAAGGCAAAAGAGAGAUUUUAAAGAAGCCACUUCCUUAUGCUGUUUGAGCCUUGUUAGAAUUACAUAAGUUUCUUCACUGCACAAAAGCAUUGAAGGCCGACCUCAACAUUGCUAUGAUGGAUGUUAAUCUAUUCUGCUUUUGCUUGAUGAAACAUCUAUGAAUUCUUUCCAUCAAAGAAACAUCUAUGAAUGCAGAAUCUUUAAUAACAGCUAAUAUGUAGCUGUACAAGGCUAUUCAGUGGUGCAGUUAUUUUAUCUGUAACAUCCAGGGUCUGCCAAUCACCCUGCUGGAGGCAGUGAUUGAGAUGAGAAAAAGCUGACUGGUGCCCCCGUGAGUGUAUGAUGUAGUUUUGAGAUGAACGAAGGCAGAUGGUGUAACCCCUUACCUGGGCUGGCCCCUGGUCAUCUUAUCCAACUUUGCAUGUUGGGUGGGCUGAGCCAUAUUCGGUUGGGUUUAGCCUGAUUGUAAAAAUUCUUGGCCUUUUCAAAGUCAACCACAUUGCUUUUUGCACACAUACAGGUACAGAUCGCAAUGACAGUGGAGGUGAAAUCUGGGCAAUCUAGAUGCGAUUAUCUGUGAGCAGCAACUGUUGCAAACUGCCCUUGUGAAAUUGUUUGUUGUCGUAGAGCGUUCAAUUUUUUGAGGUUGUUUAUAUUGUAGACUAUCGCUGUCAUGAACUGCUGAAUUUGGGAAAAGACUUGGAUAGUUAAAGUGACAUUACAUGUACCUGUGGACUUGGAGUGUGUGAGUUAGUGGACAGGUUGACUUGAUGAUCUGACUAUUUUUGCAGUCCCUGAUUUGUCCUUUUGGAGGCUGCAAUUUUUGAUGCCCAAGGAGAUCUUGGAUCUCUUAAAUGUUGGUUACAGACAUCCAAGUCAUUGCUUGAAUCAUCGUUGUU